rnacentral:tmRNA from 1 species
GGGGGCGAAUUUGGAUUCGACCGGGUGGCUAGAAGGAAGGGUUGCGUGUCGUGGUUGAUCAGCAGGCCACGUUAAAAGCUGAUCAAACAAUUUAUGUGCUGAAGGUAACUUCGCACUGGCUGCCUAGUANAUAGGCAACCCCGGUUGCGGGUCUUUGCCGGAGAGACCCAAAAACCGGUGGCCAAUUCCGGAUCGCUGAGCAUCAUGUCGAGUACAUGCUGAGUUAAAUUCCGUUCUCGUCUAGUCUGUUCUGAACUCGGUCGACAGAGGCCAGGCAGGNGAAAUCCAAACAGUCGGCUACACACGUAGACGCUCUUUCGGAAACAUCGCGGGACGCGGGUUCGAUCCCCGCCGCCUCCACUU